GCAAUUUUUUGGCAAACUUGUCGAAAGGCAAGGACGCAAAGCCAUAGGGGCUAAGGUUCGGGGCAUUUCCCGGAUGAUGCCAGCCGGUUGCUUCC
rfam:Faecalibacterium prausnitzii SL3/3 draft genome.